rnacentral:tRNA from 1 species
AGCUUUAUAUUCAAUAAUGAUAUAAAAUUGCAAAUUUUAAGGAAUAGGUUUAAGAACUAUUAAGGCUU